ACCGGUGUUUGCGGCUCUGAGGAACCCGGAUUGUUAAAUACAGAGACUGGGGCUGAACAGUGUCGGACUCACAUAUUCUGGAGCCGAGCAUCUCGCUUCCGCUCUCAGUACAAAUCAUACGGUGACGGAGCUGGAGCUGAGUGGGAAUACACUGGGAGAUUCCGGAGUGAAACCGGUGUCUGCAGCUCUGUGGAACCCGGACUGUAAAAUAUAGACAUUGGGGCUGGAACAUGUCGGUCUCACAGAUUCUGGAGCCGAGGAUCUCGCCUUCUCUCUCAGUACAAACCCCUCACUGACGGAGCUGGAGCUGGGAUACAACUCCCUCACAGACCGAUCUGUCCCCGCUCUCCGCCGCCUCAUACUGACCCUCCCGAGACUGGAGCGGAUCAGGCUGUGGGGGAAUCAGUUCAGUCCGACCGGGGAGAAGGAACUGAGGAAGCUGCAGGAACCCAGACCCGGACUGACUGUGUACUUGUCAACAUCUCUGGGUGUGAAUGUCACCGCCCUGGGGACCGGAAUAUUGUUGGACGGUUCCCCGCCCUCCCCUUUAAACAGCUGCCCCCCCCCCUUUAAACAGCUGCCUUCCCCUUUAAACGUCCGCCCUCCCCUUUAAACGGCCGCCCUCCCCUUUAAACGGCCGCCCUCCCUUUUAAACGGCCGCCCUCCCCUUUAAACGGCCGCCCUCCCCUUUAAACGGCCGCCCUCCCUUUUAAACGGCCGCCCUCACCUUUAAACGUCCACGGUCCGGGUUUAAACCCCAGCGGUUCCCGGGCCGGGCGGGCGGUGAUGUCAGAGAUGGCCCUGCCUGCUGUCAUGUGACCC